rnacentral:rRNA from 1 species
AGAUUAAGCCAUGCAAGUGUCAGCACAAGCCGUAUAUGGUAAAGCCGCGAAUGGCUCAUUACAACAGCCAUAGUUCACUUGAUCUUGAACAUCCUACUUGGAUAACUGCGGUAAUUCUAGAGCUAAUACAUGCAAUAAAGCUCCGACCUCUUGGGGGACGAGCGCAAUUAUUAGAACAAAACCAAUCGGGCUUCGGUCCGCGGUUUGUUGACUCUGAAUAACUGAGCUGAUCGCACGGUCUCUGAACCGGCGACGCAUCUUUCAAGUGUCUGCCUUAUCAACUUUCGAUGGUAGUUUAUGUGCCUACCAUGGUUGUAACGGGUAACGGAGAAUAAGGGUUCGACUCCGGAGAGGGAGCCUGAGAAACGGCUACCACAUCCAAGG